GACAACUGCAACUCCCCAGAGGAGAAGGAGCAGCUUGGGUGAGCCCAGGGCUAAAAGAACUCUGCAUUCUAAGAGCUAUGGAGAAGACUUUGCUUUUGAAUUAAAUGUUAUCUUGACGUCGCUAUCAAGCAGCACAAGCAAUGGCACUUUCUCCAAGUCUGUCAAGCUGGAAGACCUAGCCAGUCACAGACUGCCAGGAUGUG